rnacentral:lncRNA from 1 species
GCAUACUGUGAGAGAGAACAUUGCACGGUUCCUUGAGAGUUCUUAAGUGUUUUUGCUCUUAGUAUUUGGUGGUUCGGUCACUGACUUGGGCGUUGGAGUGCGAUCGGCCGCAGCGGCGCCGCUCUGUUCUUUUGCAGGUUCUUGAGGUGGAUCGCGACGAAGGACGGAGGUUGAAGCGGUGCACACGUCGAUCCAAGUUUGACGAGGCAAGAUCCAACGUUCUG